UAGGGAAUUUUCGGCAAUGGACGAAAGUCUGACCGAGCAACGCCGCGUGAGUGAAGAAGGUUUUCGGAUCGUAAAACUCUGUUGGUAGAGAAGAACGUUGGUGAGAGUGGAAAGCUCAUCAAGUGACGGUAACUACCCAGAAAGGGACGGCUAACUACGUGCCAGCAGCCGCGGUAAUACGUAGGUCCCGAGCGUUGUCCGGAUUUAUUGGGCGUAAAGCGAGCGCAGGUGGUUUAUUAAGUCUGGUGUAAAAGGCAGUGGCUCAACCAUUGUAUGCAUUGGAAACUUGUAGACUUGAGUGCAGGAGAGGAGAGUGGAAUUCCAUGUGUAGCGGUGAAAUGCGUAGAUAUAUGGAGGAACACCGGUGGCGAAAGCGGCUCUCUGGCCUGUAACUGACACUGAGGCUCGAAAGCGUGGGGAGCAAACA
rnacentral:rRNA from 1 species